rnacentral:rRNA from 1 species
UGCAGAAUCCCGUGAACCAUCGAGUUUUUGAACGCAAGUUGCGCCCCAAGCCUUCGGGCCGAGGGCACGCUUGCCUGGGCGUCACGCACCGAGUCACCCCCUUUCUACUCCUGUCCUUGUGUCCUUUUGGAGACAUUGCCAUUGGAUAUCAGAAGGGGGAGGAGAUUGGCCCCCCGUGCCUUGCAGUGCGGUCGGUCUAAAUAAAGGUCCUGGGAGGCCAGCGUCACGAUUCGUGGUGGUCGACACUCGUUGUCUCUUCUCAUUCCGAAAUCCGUGUUCGCUGCGCAGCCGUGAAGGACCACAAGAGACCCUAUUGGGCCGUUAACGCGGCACCCACUCUGCGACCCCAGGUCAAGCGGGACUACCCGCUGAAUUUAAGCAUAUCAAUAAGCGGAGGAGAAGAAACUUACAAGGAUUCCCCUAGUAACGGCGAGCGAACCGGGAACAGCCCAGCUUGAGAAUCGGAUGGCUUCGCUGUCCGA